CUUGAAACACCGGUUCUCGUAAGAUCACUUAAGUUAAGCAACGUCAAGACUGGUCAAUACCUAGAUAGGUGACCGCUUGGGAAUACCAGGUAAUGUAA